CCCCGCCCCUAGAGACUCCGCCUCUUGCGGCGAAGCUCUGCCCCCGUCGGCGGAGCCCCGCCCUUUCUCAAGAGACCACGCCCCUUAUCGAGCCCCUCCGCCUGGGCCCUUGGAAGCCACGCCCACCACUCUGCUCUAGGAACGCUCUCUCCCAACUUCUCGUGAUCUGGGGCUCUCAGGGACCAGGAUUGGAUCUCAGCUGUGUGACUCCAGUCUGACUCAUAGCUUCUAUAUACCUUGCUGCUAUGACUCGGGACCACACGAUGGCAAGAGGGCACUCAGAGGUGCAGAGCAGGAGAGACCCAGAGAUGCAUCAGAUACUGAAACCUGCUCGGAGAAGUUAUGGUAUGCUCCCUACAUAAGACGAGUCAAACCUGAAGGUUGAUAAUGUUGAUGCCUACUUACCUCACCACCAACCCAUCAGAAGAAUGUCCAUGAGCUGAUCACACCCUCUUUUAUUGUAAAACUUGUCACUUGGUUUGGAGGGCAGUACCCUGCUCUGUCCCCCUUUGCCUGGCAAAGCAAUAAAGCUAUCCUUUUCUAGUUCACCCCAAAUUCUGAAAUUUGAUUCUGCAUUGGUGU